AACGAACGCUGGCGGCAGGCCUAACACAUGCAAGUCGAACGCCGUAGCAAUACGGAGUGGCAGACGGGUGAGUAACGCGUGGGAACGUACCCUUCAGUUCGGAAUAACCCAGGGAAACUUGGGCUAAUACCGGAUACGUGCGAGAGCAGAAAGAUUUAUCGCUGAAGGAUCGGCCCGCGUCCGAUUAGCUAGUUGGUGAGGUAAUGGCUCACCAAGGCGACGAUCGGUAGCUGGUCUGAGAGGAUGAUCAGCCACAUUGGGACUGAGACACGGCCCAAACUCCUACGGGAGGCAGCAGUGGGGAAUAUUGGACAAUGGGCGCAAGCCUGAUCCAGCCAUGCCGCGUGAGUGAUGAAGGCCCUAGGGUUGUAAAGCUCAUUCGCCAGGGACGAUAAUGACGGUACCUGGAUAAGAAGCCCCGGCUAACUUCGUGCCAGCAGCCGCCGUAA
rnacentral:rRNA from 1 species